GCCUAGGAAUCUGCCUGGUAGUGGGGGACAACGUUUCGAAAGGAACGCUAAUACCGCAUACGUCCUACGGGAGAAAGCAGGGGACCUUCGGGCCUUGCGCUAUCAGAUGAGCCUAGGUCGGAUUAGCUAGUUGGUGAGGUAAUGGCUCACCAAGGCGACGAUCCGUAACUGGUCUGAGAGGAUGAUCAGUCACACUGGAACUGAGACACGGUCCAGACUCCUACGGGAGGCAGCAGUGGGGAAUAUUGGACAAUGGGCGAAAGCCUGAUCCAGCCAUGCCGCGUGUGUGAAGAAGGUCUUCGGAUUGUAAAGCACUUUAAGUUGGGAGGAAGGGUUGUAGAUUAAUACUCUGCAAUUUUGACGUUACCGACAGAAUAAGCACCGGCUAACUCUGUGCCAGCAGCC
rnacentral:rRNA from 1 species